rnacentral:misc_RNA from 1 species
UACGAAUAUCACAUACGGUGAAAACAUAAACGCGCCAUCAAUUAUUCGUAAACGUACCGCACGCGACAGUUUCGCGAUUUCUUAAAGAUAUAUACAGCAACUCGUAUGAUCUACAUAGGCGUCAAUCGUAACAAGCAUCUAUCAACACCAGAAUCAAACGCAAAAGCUUUGCUUAAAAUGGAUAGAGGGAGCUGGCUGCAGUUGUCAACGGCGUACGUGAACAGAAGGCUGGUCGAUAUGGGGAAAAAAGAAUACCGAAAGUGACGAUUACCGAGUAACACAAUAUUCAUGAUACGUACCGGGAAGAACGAUUACUCCAUGCGUUCCUCUUCUUUUCUAUCUCGAACGAAAAAGAAGCACAAUGACAGUUCACUCGCGAUAAUGGCAGAUGCGCACGACGGCCUGUCACGUGGUAAAGGGUAAAAAUUAUCCGUUUGCACGUGUGCGCCUACUAACGUUUGUAUGCAUGCUUAUACACGUGAAUCGCGCGUGCAAGUGUACAUUCAUAGACGUGUGAAUGUAUCGCGUCGUUGAAUAUAUGUGAACGUAUAUGUGUAGGUAGAGCGGUAGGUGUGCAAAAACGUUGCAACAACACGGCGCGUGGACGGUCGCGUCUGGACUGAUCGUGGGGGUCGAGCCACAGGUGUCAUCAGACGGCGGCUGCUCCACCCCUCUGCCCCCACUCGGCUUCCUCACCCGCCUUCAAUCCCCACUCUCGUCGUUACUUUCACGCACACGUCUACUCGUGCCGGAGGAGACGCGUGCGCACAUCAACCGGCUUCCUCUAUCCUCUAUAAUCAUGCAAUAUCAUUUGCUCUACCCAUGGCGCCUAUGAACUGACCGAACGGCGGCACGUGCUUUGCAUUCUAUCUUACAAAUGAUAUGGACAAGUUUUUCAAAUUGAUCUACAUCGCUAUUAGAAUUAAUAGGAACCAUUAAGAACUUAUCGUUUAAUUAUUCACCAUGCGUUUAGAAAUCUGUUUAAGCAUCGAUAAUUCGUCAGUAGCUUGAAAUAUUACAUAAGGUGAAAAUCAGUAGAUAACCAAGCUAUUGUGGAUCGAGCAUUACUUAUCGUACACUGUAAGCACUUCAGAAAAGAUGGAUACUUGAAUUACCUCGGAAAUACACACAAAAUUAUGACAGAAAUAGAUGAAGAAUUUAGGCGGGAAAAUAAAGGAUGUUAAGUAUUACUGAAUAUAAAUGUUCGUAAUUCAAAUAGAUAUUCAUUCAAAAACCAGUGUAUUUCGU